UUAACGAAAUAAAACCCAGGUGAAAUAAAACCAUGAUUAAAACAAAUAAACAUGGCGCCCCCGCCAUAUGUACGGUAUGUUAUAUGUGUUUGGUGGGGGCGCGACGGUCACGCGCAGCGGAGCUUAUGGUUGCGUGCGUUGCAAGGCAAUGGUCACACUCGGAUCAAGCUAACGUAACAUCAGUGCAAACUCUGGUGCAAAGGAACGAAGAAAAGCAGCAGGAGGAGAAGAAAGCCCUGUAAAGAGCUGCAGGUGAAGAGACAUGUAGGACCACAGCUAGCACAGCAGCCGGUGAAACAGAGCAUGCAGCAGGUGAAGGAGCAACAGACACAACUCGCCCUGAUUCUGCACUACAGCCUGCAGUCACUUUCUCCCCCACAACAAGUUCUGAUGUCCAUGAGUCCAUCAGGGAAGAACCGAUUGAUCCUGCUGACUGGCCAACCCUGUCUGGCCAAAGUUACUAAAAAUUAAAAUAUUCUGAGACCAUUAUAUUUGCUUGUAGUACAUUUAUCAAAUAUAAAUGUACAAUAUAAUACAAACAACAUAGUGUACCUAUAAUGUAUAGCAGAAUGAUAACAUGGAAUGGAAGUGGUUCAAAGUGGCCGUAGGUGGGAGGGCGCAAAUCUUUGUAUCGCCUAGUGCAGUGUUUCUCAACUGGUGGGUCGCGGACCCGUUUGUAGUGGGUCGCGGGCCUUUGCAUGGGAAACCUUCCGUCCUGACAAACACAAAACUUUAGGAAAAUUAAUUGCCAGCUAUAUUUAUAAUCAAUUUUUUGUUAGUCAUUUUUUGACAAGCAAAAAUGGCAAACAUUCCAUUUUUUAUAGCUUCUAAAAUGUUGAUGUUUCUGUCAUUUCAGUUAAUUGGGGUUUAUGAAAUUGUGACAGGCAUUAAUCCCAAUUUUAAUGAAAAAAAGAACAGGAUUAGGACAGAAAUUCCGAACGUCUUGCCUGUUUUUACGAGGCGGAUCAAGACUUUUUCUCCAGGGCCCCCAUGAUGUUGACAUUUAUGGUUUGAAGAAGAUGUUUCAACAACUGUCAGAUGGAUUGCCAUGACAUUUCCUACACAGCAUGAAUUUCGAUCACUUUGAUGCUGCAUUAACAUUUUCUCUUCAACAUCACCAGGUCAAUGUUCCACCACUUUGGUUUUGGACAGAACACUUGAAAAUAUGAAAUCAGGCCCAACUGCAUGUGUUGCAAAUAUUAGCAUGUUACCGUAGCAUGCUGAUUUUGACAUUUUGAUAAAAGCACUAUUGUACGAAUUGGGUGGGGUAUAUCCACAUAGUUUAACUAUCUUUUCUGGCCAGAUUAAAGGCUAAGUGGUGCAAUCUCUCAUGUAAAGAAAUUAUAUAACUUUUGACAGAUAUGUGAGAUUCAUCAGGAUAUUUUUGUUUUAUUUGGGGAUAGCCAAAUUGGGGCAGGGUUGUGCUAUUCUGUGUUAAUGUAUGUCCCUCUUGAAUAAACAAGGAUUU